GCAUAUCAAUAAGCGGAGGAAAAGAACCAACAGGGAUUGCCCUAGUAACGGCGAGUGAAGCGGCAACAGCUCAAAUUUGAAAUCUGGCCUCGGCCCGAGUUGUAAUUUGCAGAGGAUGUUUCUGGCGCGGCGCCUUCUGAGUUCCCUGGAACGGGACGCCAUAGAGGGUGAGAGCCCCGUACGGUUGGACGCCUAGCCUGUGUGAAACUCCUUCGACGAGUCGAGUAGUUUGGGAAUGCUGCUCAAAAUGGGAGGUAUAUCUCUUCUAAAGCUAAAUAUUGGCCAGAGACCGAUAGCGCACAAGUAGAGUGAUCGAAAGAUGAAAAGCACCUUGAAAAGGGGGUUAAACAGCACGUGAAAUUGUUGAAAGGGAAGCGCCCAUGACCAGACUUGUGCCCGGCGGAUCACCCAGCGUUCUCGCUGGGGCACUCCGCCGGGUCCAGGCCAGCAUCGGUUUUCGCCGGGGGAUAAAGGCUCUGGGAACGUAGCUCCUCCGGGAGUGUUAUAGCCCUCUGCGUAAUACCCUGGCGGGGACCGAGGUACGCGCUCCGCAAGGAUGCUGGCGUAAUGGUCAUCAGCGACCCGUCUUGAAACACGGAUCAAGGAGUCGUCCAUUAGAGCGAGCGUUUGGGUGUCAAACCCGCACGCGUAAUGAAAGUGAACGUAGGUGAGAGCUUCGGCGCAUCAUCGACCGAUCCUGAUGUCCUCGGAUGGAUUUGAGUAUGAGUUUUACUGGACGGACCCGAAAGAUGGUGAACUAUGCCUGAAUAGGGUGAAGCCAGAGGAAACUCUGGUGGAGGCUCGCAGCGGUUCUGACGUGCAAAUCGAUCGUCAAAUUUGGGCAUGGGGGCGAAAGACUAAUCGAACCAUCUAGUAGCUGGUUACCGCCGA
rnacentral:rRNA from 1 species